rnacentral:tRNA from 1 species
GCCUUCGUGGUGUAGCGGUCAGCACGCUGGGCGCCUAUGCCAGAGGUCCGUGGUUCAAGUCCCGGCGAGGGCA